rnacentral:rRNA from 1 species
CAGAGGGUGCGAGCGUUAAUCGGAAUUACUGGGCGUAAAGCGUGCGUAGACGGUUAUUUAAGUCGGGUGUGAAAGCCCCGGGCUCAACCUGGGAAUUGCAUUCGAGACUGAAUAGCUAGGGUACGGUAGAGGGAAGCGGAAUUUCCGGUGUAGCGGUGAAAUGCGUAGAUAUCGGAAGGAACAUCAGUGGCGAAAGCGGCUUCCUGGACCAGUACCGACGUUCAGGCACGAAAGCGUGGGGAGCAAACGGGAUUAGAUACCCUGGUAGUCCACGCCAUAAACGAUGAGGACUAGACGUUGGAGGGGUAAGCCUUUCAGUGUCGUAGCUAACGCGCUAAGUCCUCCGCCUGGGGAGUACGGCCGCAAGGUUG